UGAUGAUUGUUCCUCCUGCUGCUUUGAGGAUUUGCAGCUCAGGAUUUUGAAUCAUCACAGAGAAAGAGAGUCUGUUUCACCCAGCGUGUGCCGACCCUGCGGUCUCGUGGCCACGCUGGAUAUUGCGGGACUCUACAUCU